GAGUCUGAGUGUGCCGGGUUCUGGUGUCAACAAUGGAGUCACCACUGCUCAGGGGGUGCAGGCUGCACAAGCCUACAUUUUCCCCAGGUUUCAGCUUGCUGUGUCUGAGGCUUUUUCCACCCAGCAUAUAAAGGGUGCAGAGAAACACAGGGUCAGAACAGGUAUGGAAUGGGUUCUUGCUGCUUUGACACACAUGGGGUGAUCACACAUGUGUGACCACACAACCUCACAGGCUGCUCCCAAGAGCUCCCUCCUUUCCCAGGGGAACAAGAACAUCCUGGAAAGUUUUCCCUCCCUGUGCUGCCAUACCAGAGGUCAGGCACGAGGAAGCAAGAGCCAGGGCCAAAGCCACCUGCCAGUGUACUCACCCUAUACCCAGCCAACUCUCUAAGGAUGAGGGAAGCAGGUGGGCAGGAGUUAGCUCCUUCAGCCAGGUCUGACAUCACACUUCUGGCUUCUGAGAACUGCCAGAGAGCACUGCAGGUAUGUGCCAGAUGGAUGAGACCUGAAAGAAGCCCCUCAAAAUCUGAGCUUAAUCAUGCCUGACACCUCCAGGAGGUCUGGCAGCUGUCUGCAGAAUGGGAACAUGGGAAUUCCCUCUGGAGAGAACAGAAGGUGGAAUGGGCGGCAUGGGAAGCCUGGGCUGCUGGGGAGGACCAAGAGAUGCUGCAGGUAGGG